CGGAGGGCUAGCGUUGUUCGGAAUUACUGGGCGUAAAGCGCACGUAGGCGGAUCGGACAGUCAGAGGUGAAAUCCCAGGGCUCAACCUUGGAACUGCCUUUGAAACUACUGGUCUGGAGUUCGAGAGAGGUGAGUGGAAUUCCGAGUGUAGAGGUGAAAUUCGUAGAUAUUCGGAGGAACACCAGUGGCGAAGGCGGCUCACUGGCUCGAUACUGACGCUGAGGUGCGAAAGCGUGGGAGCAAACAGGAUU
rnacentral:rRNA from 1 species